rnacentral:rRNA from 1 species
UACGAAGGGGGCUAGCGUUGUUCGGAAUCACUGGGCGUAAAGGGCGCGUAGGCGGCCGAUCAAGUCGGGGGUGAAAGCCUGUGGCUCAACCACAGAAUUGCCUCGAUACUGGUUGGCUUGAGACCGGAAGAGGUAAGUGGAACUGCGGAGUAGAGGUGAAAUUCGUAGAUAUUCGCAAGAACACCAGUGGCGAAGGCGGCUCA